AAAUAAUCUUGGACUUUCGGCUAAGAUCACAUGUAGUAUUUGCUCUUAACAGUUUGAUAUCUGAUAUUUUCUCUAUCUGAGGACAUUAUAUAAAAUGUAUUUUUGGAGCAGGGAGAUGAAAUAGGAGCUUGCUCCAGCUCCAUCCACUCCACGAUUCAACCAGUAUUGCAGUAUUGGGAAUGGAGCACCAACA